GGAUGUGAGGGUGAUCUGGCUGCGACAUCUGUCACCCCAUUGAUCACCAGGGUUGAUUUGGCUGAUCUGGCUGGCUAGGCAGGUGUCCCCUUCCCCCUUCAAUGCUCCACGUGCAUCCCUCUGGAAGCUGCACAUUCUGUCCAAGAGGACAACGUUCCCAAUAGAGGAAGACCGGUCUUUGGUCAAGGGUAUACGAGUAGCUGCCCUCCCCAGCCAGAGCCUCCAAACAAGCUCUCAAGCUCCGAACUCUAGCAGCUGAAUCCAGAGCCAAGGACCCUAUCUU
rnacentral:snRNA from 1 species